rnacentral:rRNA from 1 species
UACAGAGGGUGCAAGCGUUGUUCGGAAUUAUUGGGCGUAAAGGGAGUGUAGGCGGCUUUUUUAAGUCUUCUGUGAAAUCUACGGGCUUAACCUGUAACGUGCAGAGGAUACUGGAGAGCUUGAGUGUCGGAGAGGAUAGUGGAAUUCCCGGUGUAGAGGUGAAAUUCGUAGAGAUCGGGAGGAACACCAGUGGCGAAGGCGGUUCUCUGGGCCUUACCUGACGCUGAGGAGCGAAAAGCGUGGGGGAGCCGAACGAGG